rnacentral:lncRNA from 7 species
GCAAGGCAUGCAUAGUGCUCGGUUUUAUUAGGGCCUAGCGCCGGGGAGGGGAAGACACGGCGCACCGAGGCGUGGGCACGGCUAGUGUGCGGCCUCGGGGGAAACACGCCACCAAACACAUAGCACAAUUAGUUCUACCCUUCUUUAAACAUCCAUAGGUCGGUGAUCUUGCAAAAUAUGCCCAAAAUCUCUAUAUAGGAUUUUUUUCCCUUACUUCACUCUUCAAACCUUGUGUAGUACUCAAAUGGAUUUGAGGCAUGGUUUAAAAGAUAUUUGUAGAUGAAAUUGGGUUUGUCAAAUUGCAAAAAAAUUGAGGUAAAACACAUGUCAAGUCUUGUCAAACUAUUUGGUUUGGAUUUCAUCUUUUUAUAGGGCAUGCCUCAGGUAGUUUUACACACUUUUCAUAUUUAGGGCCAAGUGAUUUGGUUAUUAGAGGUUAGUGAACAAGAAGAGGUUUAUCUCUAGGGUGGAUUUAAGACUUGGAGA